UACGUAGGCAGCAAGCGUUGUCCGGAAUUACUGGGCGUAAAGAGCUCGUAGGUGGUUUGUCGCGUUGUUCGUGAAAACUCACAGCUCAACUGUGGGCGUGCGGGCGAUACGGGCAGACUUGAGUACUGCAGGGGAGACUGGAAUUCCUGGUGUAGCGGUGGAAUGCGCAGAUAUCAGGAGGAACACCGGUGGCGAAGGCGGGUCUCUGGGCAGUAACUGACGCUGAGGAGCGAAAGCGUGGGGAGCAAACAGG
rnacentral:rRNA from 1 species